rnacentral:misc_RNA from 1 species
CUGAACCGACGUAUUGGAGAGUAGAAAGAAUGGAGACAUCAACAUACUUCUCUAUUUCAAAGGCCCAGUGCCCCACUAAUGUUGAUGGACAAAUUAUUAAAGAUGGUGGAAUAUCUUCUCUAUUAUUUAAAGUAAGGCGUUCAACUAUGUCGCAUGCCACAAUUGCUGAUGCUUGAAGGGUCUUACCAAGGCCCAUGUCAUCACAUAAUAUUCCGUGAAGAUUAAAGCGCUUCAAAAAUGCCAACCAAUUUAUACCUUCUUGUUGGUACCUUCUCAAUGUCACCUUUAGUUCAGUUGAGAGCUUGUAAUCGUCUAUGUGAGAGUUGUCAAUUAGCUGCUCCAAAAAUUUAACAUCUUCUUGACUUCUUGAUAGGUGUUCACUAAGACCAACAGGAGGAGAAACACCACGUGCUAAUGGAAGUAGAGGCACAAGGGUGGCAAAACUAUGUGUCACACUCUGUCUGACAGAAUGAUCUGAGUCACUCAUACACCUCAGAAGGGGAACUACUAAUAGGGGAGCAUAUGG